CCUACGGGAGGCAGCAGUAGGGAAUCUUCCACAAUGGGCGAAAGCCUGAUGGAGCAACGCCGCGUGGGUGAAGAAGGUCUUCGGAUCGUAAAACCCUGUUGUUAGAGAAGAAAGUGCGUGAGAGUAACUGUUCACGUUUCGACGGUAUCUAACCAGAACGCCACGGCUAACUACGUGCCAGCAGCCGCGGUCAUACGUAGGUGGCAAGCGUUAUCCGGAUUUAUGGGGCGUAAAGGGAACGCAGGCGGUCUUUUAAGUCUGAUGUGAAAGCCUUCGGCUUAACCGGAGUAGUGCAUUGGAAACUGGGAGACUUGAGUGCAGAAGAGGAGAGUGGAACUCCAUGUGUAGCGGUGAAAUGCGUAGAUAUAUGGAAGAACACCAGUGGCGAAAGCGGCUCUCUGGUCUGUAACUGACGCUGAGGUUCGAAAGCGUGGGUAGCAAACAGGAUUAGAUACCCCGGUAGUC
rnacentral:rRNA from 1 species